AUUGGACAAUGGGCGCAAGCCUGAUCCAGCCAUACCGCGUGGGUGAAGAAGGCCUUCGGGUUGUAAAGCCCUUUUGUUGGGAAAGAAAUCCAGCCGGCUAAUACCYGGUUGGGAUGACGGUACCCAAAGAAUAAGCACCGGCUAACUUCGUGCCAGCAGCCGCGGUAAUACGAAGGGUGCAAGCGUUACUCGGAAUUACUGGGCGUAAAGCGUGCGUAGGUGGUCGUUUAAGUCCGUUGUGAAAGCCCUGGGCUCAACCUGGGAACUGCAGUGGAUACUGGGCGACUAGAGUGUGGUAGAGGGUAGCGGAAUUCCUGGUGUAGCAGUGAAAUGCGUAGAGAUCAGGAGGAACAUCCAUGGCGAAGGCAGCUACCUGGACCAACACUGACACUGAGGCACGAAAGCGUGGGGAGCAAACAGGAUUAGAUACCCUGGUAGUCCACGCCCUAAACGAUGCGAACUGGAUGUUGGGUGCAAUUUGGCACGCAGUAUCGAAGCUAACGCGUUAAGUUCGCCGCCUGGGGAGUACGGUCGCAAGACUGAAACUCA
rnacentral:rRNA from 1 species